GCUCCAAUAGCGUAUAUUAAUUCUGUUGCGGUUAAAAAGCUCGUAGUUGGAUCUCGGCGGGCAGGGGGCGGUCCGUUUUCUGACGCGACUGCCCCGUUUGCUCGUGUGACUUCGGCGGAGUCGGCCGGGUGCUCUUCGUUGAGUGUCCGGACGGGCCGCCAGUUUACUUUGAAAAAAUUAGAGUGCUCCAAGCAGGCCGC
rnacentral:rRNA from 1 species